CCUACGGGAGGCAGCAGUGGGGAAUAUUGCACAAUGGGCGCAAGCCUGAUGCAGCGACGCCGCGUGAGGGAUGGAGGCCUUCGGGUUGUAAACCUCUUUUGUUUGGGAGCAAGCCUUCGGGUGAGUGUACCUUUCGAAUAAGCGCCGGCUAACUACGUGCCAGCAGCCGCGGUAAU
rnacentral:rRNA from 1 species